rnacentral:rRNA from 1 species
UACGUAGGGGGCGAGCGUUGUCCGGAUUUAUUGGGCGUAAAGAGCUCGUAGGCGGCUUGGCAAGUCGGGUGUGAAACCUCCAGGCUCAACCUGGAGACGCCACUCGAUACUGCCAUGGCUAGAGUCCGGUAGGGGACCACGGAAUUCCUGGUGUAGCGGUGAAAUGCGCAGAUAUCAGGGGGAACACCGGUGGCGAAGGCGGUGGUCUGGGCCGGCACUGACGCUGAGGAGCGAAAGCGUGGGUAGCAAACAGG